rnacentral:rRNA from 1 species
ACGCAAUAAGCACUCCGCCUGGGGAGUACGGUCGCAAGACUAAAACUCAAAGGAAUUGACGGGGGCCCGCACAAGCAGCGGAGCAUGUGGUUUAAUUCGAAGCAACGCGAAGAACCUUACCAGGGCUUGACAUCGUCUGAAUAUCUUAGAGAUAAGAGAAACCCUUCGGGGCAGAUAGACAGGUGGUGCAUGGUUGUCGUCAGCUCGUGUCGUGAGAUGUUCGGUUAAGUCCCGCAACGAGCGCAACCCUUGUCAUUAGUUGCUAACAGUAAGAUGAGCACUCUAAUGAGACUGCCGGGGACAACUCGGAGGAAGGUGGGGAUGACGUCAAAUCANCAUGCCCCUUAUGUCCUGGGCUACACACGUGCUACAAUGGCUAGAACAAUGAGAUGCAAGAUGGUGACAUGGAGCAAAUCUAUAAAA